rnacentral:rRNA from 1 species
AUUGAACGCUGGCGGCAUGCCUUACACAUGCAAGUCGAACGGCAGCACGGGAGCAAUCCUGGUGGCGAGUGGCGAACGGGUGAAUAAUGUAUCGGAACGUACCUUUCAGUGGGGGAUAACGUAGCGAAAGUUACGCUAAUACCGCAUAUUCUGUGAGCAGGAAAGCAGGGGAUCGCAAGACCUUGCGCUGAUUGAGCGGCCGAUAUCAGAUUAGCUAGUUGGUGAGGUAAAGGCUCACCAAGGCGACGAUCUGUAGCGGGUCUGAGAGGAUGAUCCGCCACACUGGAACUGAGACACGGUCCAGACUCCUACGGGAGGCAGCAGUGGGGAAUCUUGCGCAAUGGGGGCAACCCUGACGCAGCCAUGCCGCGUGAACGAUGAAGGCCUUAGGGUUGUAAAGUUCUUUUACCCGUGACGAUGAUGACGGUAACGGGGGAAUAAGCUCCGGCUAACUCGUGCCAGCAGCCGC